rnacentral:rRNA from 1 species
AUGCAAGGUUAAGCAGCAAAUGUGGAGCCGCAGCGAAAGCGAGUCUGAAUAGGGCGUUGAGUAUUUGGUCGUAGACCCGAAACCAGGUGAUCUACCCUUGGUCAGGUUGAAGUUCAGGUAACACUGAAUGGAGGACCGAACCGACUUACGUUGAAAAGUGAGCGGAUGAACUGAGGGUAGCGGAGAAAUUCCAAUCGAACUUGGAGAUAGCUGGUUCUCUCCGAAAUAGCUUUAGGG